UACGAAGGGGGCUAGCGUUGCUCGGAAUCACUGGGCGUAAAGGGUGCGUAGGCGGGUCUUUUAGUCAGGGGUGAAAUCCUGGAGCUCAACUCCAGAACUGCCUUUGAUACUGAAGAUCUUGAGUUCGGGAGAGGUGAGUGGAACUGCGAGUGUAGAGGUGAAAUUCGUAGAUAUUCGCAAGAACACCAGUGGCGAAGGCGGCUCACUGGCCCGAUACUGACGCUGAGACACGAAGGCCAGGGGAGCAAACGGG
rnacentral:rRNA from 1 species